rnacentral:rRNA from 1 species
CCCUUAGAUGUUCUGGGCCGCACGCGCGCUACACUGAUGCAUUCAACGAGUCUAAAACCUGGUCUGAUAGGGCUGGGUAAUCUUUUGAAUGUGCAUCGUGAUUGGGAUAGAUGAUUGCAAUUCUUCAUCUUCAACGAGGAAUGCCUAGUAAACGCAAGUCAUCAGCUUGCAUUGAUUACGUCCCUGCCCGUUGUACACACCGCCCGUCGCUCCUACCGAUUGAAUGUUCCGAUGAAUACCAUGGACUGAGAGUAUGAAUGGGUUCGCCUAUUUCUGCUUCUCGGGAAGUGGAGUAAAUCUUAACAUUUAGAGGAAGGAGAAGUCGUAACA